GCUCCUUUUAUCACUCGAAAUAAUAAAUCCAAGUUGUGAAGAAAUGUACUUAUUGUGGCUGAAAAGUAUACAUAGGGAGUCGGUAUGACUUUAAUAUAUUCAAGAGGUUUACGAAUGCCAAAGUCAUGUUAUUUGAUAUAGGAUUCAUGAUUGCUCAGCCUAUGUACUAUUAUAGUAGCUUCUGUAUGCUGCUUCUUUUUCUUCAAAACAUGUCCA